rnacentral:rRNA from 1 species
GACGAACGCUGGCGGCGUGCUUAACACAUGCAAGUCGAGCGGUAAGGCCCUUUCGGGGGUACACGAGCGGCGAACGGGUGAGUAACACGUGGGUGACCUGCCCUCAGCUCUGGGAUAAGCCUGGGAAACCGGGUCUAAUACCGGAUAUGACUCCAUGACGCAUGUUGUGGGGUGGAAAGCCUUGUGCGGCUGAGGAUGGGCCCGCGGCCUAUCAGCUUGUUGGUGGGGUGAUGGCCUACCAAGGCGACGACGGGUAGCCGGCCUGAGAGGCGACCGGCCACACUGGGACUGAGACACGGCCCAGACUCCUACGGGAGGCAGCAGUGGGAAUCUUGCGCAAUGGGCGAAAGCCUGACGCAGCGACGCCGCGUGAGGGAUGACGGCCUGGUGUAAC